rnacentral:rRNA from 1 species
GACGGAAGGUGCAAGCGUUGCUCGGAAUCAUUGGGCGUAAAGGGUGCGUAGGCGGCUUGGUGGGUCUGGUGUGAAAGCCCCGGGCUUAGCCCGGGAAGGGCGCUAGAAACUGCCGAGCUCGAGUGCCGGAGGGGAGAGUGGAAUUCCUGGUGUAGCGGUGAAAUGCGUAGAGAUCAGGAGGAAUACCGGUGGCGAAAGCGGGUCUCUGGGCCGAUACUGACGCUGAGGAGCGAAAGCGUGGGGAGCAAACAGG